CUUGAAGCUUGGAUCUCCAUCUUCUUCAAGCUUAGACCUCUAAGAUAUUGGGUAUUCUAGGGAUUUUGACAAGGAGUAUUUGGGCGAGCUAAAUAUCUAAGAUUUGGAUAUUUUAGAGUAGUAAGGACAUGUGAAUAGCAUGAGCACAAGUGGUGGGGUCUCGAAGGUGACUUUUGAAACUAGGAGACUUAGUCCUAGUGUUGGAGCUUAUCACGAAUUUUUGUUUCUUUUGGAUAUUCCCUUUGACCCUUGUAUUUUUGGUAACCCGUUGUGCUUGUAAUG